UGCUGGGUCGUCUAGCAGUAGGACAGCGGUCUCUGAAGCCGCGAACGCAUGUGCGACUCAUGCCCCGGCAG
rnacentral:tRNA from 1 species